rnacentral:rRNA from 1 species
GACGAAGGGGGCUAGCGUUGUUCGGAAUUACUGGGCGUAAAGCGCGCGUAGGCGGUUCUUCAAGUCAGGCGUGAAAGCCCCGGGCUUAACCCGGGAAUAGCGCUUGAUACUGUGGGACUUGAGUCCGGGAGAGGAUAGUGGAAUUCCCAGUGUAGAGGUGAAAUUCGUAGAUAUUGGGAAGAACACCAGUGGCGAAGGCGAGUCUCUGGACAUUUCCUGACGCUGAGGCACGAAAGCCAGGGGAGCAAACGGG